rnacentral:rRNA from 1 species
AGAGAGAGACAUGCGCGCAUAUCAAUAAGCGGAGGAAAAGAAACUAACAAGGAUUCCCUAGUAACGGCGAGUGAAGCGGGAAGAGCUCAAAUUUGAAAUCUUAAAGGGUUUCCCUUUACGAAUUGUAGUUUAAAGAAGUGUUUUCUGUUGAGGUUUUGGUAAAAGUUCUUUGGAAUAGGACAUCAUAGAGGGUGAGAAUCCCGUAUUUGACCUUUACUUUCAACUUUGUGAUACACUUUCAAAGAGUCGGAUUGUUUGGGAAUGCAGUCCAAAAUGGGUGGUAAAUUUCAUCUAAAGCUAAAUAUUGGCGAGAGACCGAUAGCGAACAAGUACCGUGAGGGAAAGAUGAAAAGAACUUUGAAAAGAGAGUUAAACAGUACGUGAAAUUGUCAAAAGGGAAGCGUUUGACACCAGUGUUGUUUUUCUGAAAAUCAAUUAAAGAACUGUUUAUGCUAAGCUGUUUAGACUUUAUCAGCUAUCUGUUUAGUUUUGAGCUUUUCUUUAAUGCACUUUUCAGUUAACAAGUCAACAUCAAUUUCUUUUGCUGUAAAAAAGCUUGAGGAAGGUGGCUUGAGAUUCGUCUUAAGUGUUUAUAGCCUCUUGCCUAUGCAGUCGGAGAGAUUGAGGUCUGCAGCGUAGAUCCUUCGGGGCUAAAUGCAUUUGUGCUAAGUUAUAGCAUUUUAUAGACAACUUGUUGACUAUGAUUUGUCUUGUAGCUUACUCGCUUAUGUUAUUUUACCUACGCUUAGGAUGUUGAGCGCAUGUCUCUCUCU